rnacentral:lncRNA from 1 species
GGGGGGGGCUAGGAUGAAAAAUUGUGUCCUGCCUUUUUUUUUUAGUUGUAAUCUCUGUCCUGCCUUUUUAUUUUUCAGUCUAUUCGGUCCUGCCUUUUUUUUCUUAGCUUAUCCUGACUUUUUUACAACAAUUGUCAUAUUGCCUUUUUUUUUUGCCAAGUUACUCAUCCUGCCUUUUUUUUUAACUCAAAAUCCUGUCCUGCCUUUUUUUCAAAUUUCAUCCUAGCCCCCCCCAUAAAAAUCAAAUGGUAGCUCCC